rnacentral:misc_RNA from 1 species
GAAAUGCGAUAAGUAGUGUGAAUUGCAGAAUUCAGUGAAUCAUCGAAUCUUUGAACGCACAUUGCGCCCCUUGGUAUUCCAUGGGGCAUGCCUGUUCGAGCGUCAUUUGUACCCUCAAGCUCUGCUUGGUGUUGGGUGUUUGUCCCGUCUCCGCGCGUGAACUCGCCCCAAAGUGAUUGGCAGCCGGCGUACUGGUCCCGGAGCGCAGCACAUGUCGCGCAAACGAGUGCCUUGGUACGGCGGCGUCCAUAAGCCCCUCUCUCACGCUCUUGACCUCGGAUCAGGUAGGGAUACCCGCUGAACUUAAGC